rnacentral:rRNA from 1 species
CCUACGGGCGGCAGCAGUGAGGAAUAUUGGUCAAUGGGCGGGAGCCUGAACCAGCCAAGCCGCGUGAGGGAAGAAGGUACAGCGUAUCGUAAACCUCUUUUGUCAGGGAACAAAGGCGGGGACUAGUCCCCGGAUGUGGGUACCUGAAGAAAAAGCAUCGCCUAACUCCGUGCCAGCAGCCGCGGUAAUACGGAGGAUGCGAGCGUUAUCCGGAUUUAUUGGGUUUAAGGGGUGGGAAGGCGGCCUGUUAAGUCAGCGGUAAAAGGCCGGGGCUCAACCCCAGCGCGCCGUUGAAACUGGGGGGCUGGAGUUGGAGAGAGGUACGCGGAAUGCGCGGUGUAGCGGUGAAAUGCUUAGAUAUCGCGCAGAACCCCGAUUGCGAAGGCAGCGUACCGGCUCCACACUGACGCUGAGGCACGAAAGCGUGGGUAUCGAACAGGAUUAGAUACCCGUGUAGUC